AUGUGAGGUUUAGAGUCAAAGGAAAUCAUUUUGGAGCUUUAAAAUUUGACUGCCCUGCUGGAUGUUGGACUUGCAUGGGUCCUAUAACCCCUUUGUUCUGGUCAAUUUCUCCCAUUUGGAAUAGUAUUUACCCAAUAACUGUACCCCCAUAAUAUCUAGGAAGUAAGUAACCUGCUUUUGAGUUUACAGGCUCAUAGGUGGAAGGGACUUGCCUUCAGAUGAGACUUUGGACUGUGUACUUUUGG